GUGCCAGCCGCCGCGGUAAUACGUAGGGGGCGAGCGUUGUCCGGAUUUAUUGGGCGUAAAGGGCGUGUAGGCGGCCUGGUAAGGGUGUGGUGAAAUCUCCCGGCUUAACUGGGAGGGGUCUAUGCCGACUGCCUGGCUGGAGGACGGUAGGGGCGCGCGGAAUUCCCGGUGUAGUGGUGAAAUGCGUAGAGAUCGGGAGGAACACCGGUGGCGAAGGCGGCGCGCUGGGCCGGCCCUGACGCUGAAACGCGAAAGCGUGGGGAGCGAACUGGAUUAGAUACCCAGGUAGUCCACGCGGUAAACGAUGGACACUAGGUGUGGGGGGUAUCGACCCCCUCCGUGCCGAAGCCAACGCAUUAAGUGUCCCGCCUGGGGAGUACGGCCGCAAGGCUAAA
rnacentral:rRNA from 1 species